ensembl:lncRNA
CUGAUUCACUUUGAAUCGAAACACAUCGCUACUCUGCACAACUACAGCUUCAGUUUGACUCCUCUUGAUAAAAACAUCAGAAGUCCAUUACAGUGAAAUACACAGAUUUCCUUCAAAUGUGAGAAACUUUCAUUUAAAAUGUAAUUUAUAAAUGUACGUUGAUGUUAACACGAGCGGUUUGUGUUUAUUUAUUAAAGACUUGUCCAGCGCUAGAAGAACCAGAGAGCUGCUUCACAGAAGAAAGAAGAAGAAGAAGAAGCAGAAGGAGGAAAUGAGAGAGCUUUUUAGUGAAGCCGUGAGCUGCUGAAUGAUUUCUGAGUUUUUAAUUUAAUCUCUGAUCCAGAAUCCUAAAUUGUGGUGGUCUCCUUUACCUACCGUGUAGUGAUUAGAAGACUAUCAUGAUUCAGUGAUCCCGUGUGUGAAGCUGCUCCGUUUUGUACUCUGUAUAGCAAUAAAAAUACACAACCAUUUUAUCAUGAGAUCUGCU